GAUGAACGCUGGCGGCGUGCCUAAUACAUGCAAGUCGAGCGAACGGACGAGAAGCUUGCUUCUCUGAUGUUAGCGGCGGACGGGUGAGUAACACGUGGAUAACCUACCUAUAAGACUGGGAUAACUUCGGGAAACCGUAGCUAAUACCGGAUAAUAUUUUGAACCGCAUGGUUCAAAAGUGAAAGACGGUCUUGCUGUCACUUAUAGAUGGAUCCGCGCUGCAUUAGCUAGUUGGUAAGGUAACGGCUUACCAAGGCAACGAUGCAUAGCCGACCUGAGAGGGUGAUCGGCCACACUGGAACUGAGACACGGUCCAGACUCCUACGGGAGGCAGAAGUAGGGAAUCUUCCGCAAUGGGCGAAAGCCUGACGGAGCAACGCCGCGUGAGUGAUGAAGGUCUUCGGAUCGUAAAACUCUGUUAUUAGGGAAGAACAUAUGUGUAAGUAACUGUGCACAUCUUGACGGUACCUAAUCAGAAAGCCACGGCUAACUACGUG
rnacentral:rRNA from 1 species